UACGAAGGGGGCUAGCGUUGCUCGGAAUCACUGGGCGUAAAGCGCACGUAGGCGGCUUUUUAAGUCAGGGGUGAAAUGCCAAGGCUCAACCUUGGAACUGCCUUUGAUACUGGAGACCUUGAGUCCGGGAGAGGUGAGUGGAACUGCGAGUGUAGAGGUGAAAUUCGUAGAUAUUCGCAAGAACACCAGUGGCGAAGGCGGCUCACUGGCCCGGUACUGACGCUGAGGUGCGAAAGCGUGGGGAGCAAACGGGG
rnacentral:rRNA from 1 species